rnacentral:rRNA from 1 species
AGCGAACGCUGGCGGCGUGCCUAACACAUGCAAGUCGAACGUGAAAAGGGAAACCUGAGUAAAGUGGCGUACGGGUGAGUAACGCGUAGGUAAUCUACCCCAGAAUCUGGAAUAACCUGCCGAAAGGCGGGCUAAUACUGGAUAGAGCGAGGGAACUCGUAAGAGAGUUUUUCGGGAAAGGGAGCCCGCAAGGGCCUUCGUUCUGGGAUGAGCCUGCGUCUCAUUAGCUAGUUGGUAAGGUAACGGCUUACCAAGGCGAUGAUGAGUAGCUGGUCUGAGAGGAUGAUCAGCCACACUGGAACUGAAACACGGUCAAGACUCCUACGGGAGGCAGCAGUGGGGAAUCUUGCGCAAUGGACGAAAGUCUGACGCAGCCACGCCGCGUGAGUGAAGAAGGCCUUCGGGUUGUAAAGCUCUGUCGGAUGGGACGAACAUCUUCAUAGUGAAUAGCUAUGAGGACUGACGGUACCAUCAAAGGAAGCACCGGCUAACUCCGUG